rnacentral:rRNA from 1 species
CCUACGGGGGGCAGCAGUGAGGAAUAUUGGUCAAUGGGCGUGAGCCUGAACCAGCCAAGUCGCGUGAAGGAUGAAUGUUCUACGGAUUGUAAACCUCUUUUAUAAGGGAAUAAAGUGCGGCACGUGUGCCGUUUUGUAUGUACUUUAUGAAUAAGGAUCGGCUAACUCCGUGCCAGCAGCCGCGGUAAUACGGAGGAUCCGAGCGUUAUCCGGAUUUAUUGGGUUUAAAGGGUGCGUAGAUGGCUUUUUAAGUCAGUUGUGAAAGUUUGUGGCUCAACCGUAAAAUUGCCAUUGAUACUGGGAGGCUUGAGUACUGUUGAGGCAGGCGGAAUGCGUGGUGUAGCGGUGAAAUGCUUAGAUAUCACGAAGAACCCCGAUUGCGAAGGCAGCUUGCCAAGCCGCGACUGACACUGAUGCACGAAAGCGUGGGGAUCAAACAGGAUUAGAUACCCCAGUAGUC